CAUUGCUGGAACUUGUUGCCCUCACGGGCACAACCCCAGAUACCCUAUGUGAACUUAUACCUUUUUUUAUCGUUGCCUCGGCGCUGAGCCCGGGGGGCGGAAGAGAAAGCUUGCUUUCCCUCUCCCUCCCCCCCCCUCACGGGUGUAAAAACCAGUGUGGGAGCAGGCCCGCCGGCGGCCCAUUAAACUCUUGUUUUUUAUAACCUAUCUCUUCUGAGUUUCAUAAACAAAAAUGAAUCAAAACUUUCAACAACGGAUCUCUUGGUUCUGGCAUCGAUGAAGAACGCAGCGAAAUGCGAUAAGUAAUGUGAAUUGCAGAAUUCAGUGAAUCAUCGAAUCUUUGAACGCACAUUGCGCCCGCUGGAAUUCCAGCGGGCAUGCCUGUUCGAGCGUCAUUUCAACCCUCAAGCCCCUUGGCUUGGUGUUGGGGCACUACCCGUAAAACGGUAGGCCCUGAAAUUUAGUGGCGGGCUCGCUAAGACUCUGAGCGUAGUAGUUUUUUCAACCUCGCUUUGGAAGGAUUAGCGGUUGCUCUUGCCGUAAAACCCCCCCCAUAUUCUGAAAAUUUGAC
rnacentral:rRNA from 1 species